GUCCCUAAGAGAGUCUGCCUGACAAGUGUUAAGACAUUGGUGGAGAUCAGCUGGCCAGUGGUGAAGCAGAGUUGGAGGUCCUCCUGUAUAAUGUGAGCUAAAGAUUGUCAUAGUGAGUCACUUUGUCUUGUUUCUGACUUCAAUGGGACUACUGCUAAAAUUCACCACCCUGAUACUUUGGCUCAGGAUCCAGAGACGAUGGAAAGUGUGCUUCUGGGACUAUUACUACAAGUGACUCCAGCCUCCCAGGUGACCCAAAGCAGAUCUCUGAAGAAACCUGCCUUCCCAUUCUCUCCAUCCUUGCUGGGAUACUGAAGGAAAGGAGGGGCUAAGGACACAUUUCCAUC